AGUGAACGCUGGCGGUAGGCCUAACACAUGCAAGUCGAACGGCAGCACAGUAAGAGCUUGCUCUUACGGUUGGCGAGUGGCGGACGGGUGAGGAAUACAUCGGAAUCUACUUUUUCGUGGGGGAUAACGUAGGGAAACUUACGCUAAUACCGCAUACGACCUACGGGUGAAAGCAGUGGAUCUUCGGACCUUGCGCGAUUGAAUUAGCCGAUGUCGGAUUAGCUAGUUGGCGUGGUAAAGGCCCACCAAGGCGACGAUCCGUAGCUGGUCUGAGAGGAUGAUCAGCCACACUGGAACUGAGACACGGUCCAGACUCCUACGGGAGGCAGCAGUGGGGAAUAUUGGACAAUGGGCGCAAGCCUGAUCCAGCCAUACCGCGUGGGUGAAGAAGGCCUUCGGGUUGUAAAGCCCUUUUGUUGGGAAAGAAAAGCAGCAGGUUAAUACCCCGCUGUUCUGACGGUACCCAAAGAAUAAGCACCGGCUAACUUCGUG
rnacentral:rRNA from 1 species